rnacentral:rRNA from 1 species
UACGGAGGGUGCGAGCGUUGUCCGGAAUCACUGGGCGUAAAGGGCGCGUAGGUGGCGACCCAAGUCGAUGGUGAAAGCUCGCCGCUCAACGGCGAGUCGGCCACCGAUACUGGGUUGCUGGAGCACUGUAGAGGCAGAUGGAAUUCCGGGUGUAGCGGUGGAAUGCGUAGAGAUCCGGAAGAACACCGGUGGCGAAGGCGGUCUGCUGGGCAGUUGCUGACACUGAGGCGCGACAGCGUGGGGAGCAAACAGGG